rnacentral:rRNA from 1 species
CCCAGACUCCUACGGGAGGCAGCAGUGGGGGAUAUUGCACAAUGGGGGAAACCCUGAUGCAGCGACGCCGCGUGAGUGAAGAAGUAUUUCGGUAUGUAAAGCUCUAUCAGCAGGGAAGAAAAAAGACGGUACCUGACUAAGAAGCCCCGGCUAACUACGUGCCAGCAGCCGCGGUAAUACGUAGGGGGCAAGCGUUAUCCGGAUUUACUGGGUGUAAAGGGAGCGUAGACGGCAAUACAAGUCGGAAGUGAAAUACCCGGGCUCAACCUGGGAACUGCUUUGGAAACUGUAUGGCUGGAGUGCUGGAGAGGUAAGCGGAAUUCCUAGUGUAGCGGUGAAAUGCGUAGAUAUUAGGAGGAACACCAGUGGCGAAGGCGGCUUACUGGACAGUAACUGACGUUGAGGCUCGAAAGCGUGGGGAGCAAACAGGAUUAGAUACCCCGGUAUAC